rnacentral:rRNA from 1 species
UUAACACAUGCAAGUCGAGCGGUAAGGCCCUUCGGGGUACACGAGCGGCGAACGGGUGAGUAACACGUGGGUGAUCUGCCCUGCACUUCGGGAUAAGCCUGGGAAACUGGGUCUAAUACCGGAUAUGACCUUCGGCUGCAUGGCUGAGGGUGGAAAGGUUUACUGGUGCAGGAUGGGCCCGCGGCCUAUCAGCUUGUUGGUGGGGUAAUGGCCUACCAAGGCGACGACGGGUAGCCGACCUGAGAGGGUGACCGGCCACACUGGGACUGAGACACGGCCCAGACUCCUACGGGAGGCAGCAGUGGGGAAUAUUGCACAAUGGGCGAAAGCCUGAUGCAGCGACGCCGCGUGAGGGAUGACGGCCUUCGGGUUGUAAACCUCUUUCAGCAGGGACGAAGCGAGAGUGACGGUACCUGCAGAAGAAGCACCGGCCAACUACGUGCCAGCAGCCGCGGUAAUACGUAGGGUGCAAGCGUUGUCCGGAAUUACUGGGCGUAAAGAGCUCGUAGGCGGUUUGUCGCGUCGUCUGUGAAAACUCGAGGCUCAACCUCGAGCUUGCAGGCGAUACGGGCAGACUUGAGUACUGCAGGGGAGACUGGAAUUCCUGGUGUAGCGGUGAAAUGCGCAGAUAUCAGGAGGAACACCGGUGGCGAAGGCGGGUCUCUGGGCAGUAACUGACGCUGAGGAGCGAAAGCGUGGGUAGCGAACAGGAUUAGAUACCCUGGUAGUCCACGCCGUAAACGGUGGGCGCUAGGUG